rnacentral:piRNA from 1 species
UAGUUGUGAGAGUGGAAUAGCAUUGC